GUAGUCGUGGCCGAGUGGUUAAGGCGACAGACUCGAAAUCUGUUGGGAUAUUCCCGCGCAGGUUCAAAUCCUGCCGACUACG
rnacentral:tRNA from 2 species